rnacentral:rRNA from 1 species
AUUGAACGCUGGCGGCAUGCCUUACACAUGCAAGUCGAACGGCAGCACGGGUGCUUGCACCUGGUGGCGAGUGGCAAACGGGUGAGUAAUACAUCGGAACAUGUCCUGUAGUGGGGGAUAGCCCGGCGAAAGCCGGAUUAAUACCGCAUACGAUCUACGGAUGAAAGCGGGGGACCUUCGGGCCUCGCGCUAUAGGGUUGGCCGAUGGCUGAUUAGCUAGUUGGUGGGGUAAAGGCCUACCAAGGCGACGAUCAGUAGCUGGUCUGAGAGGACGACCAGCCACACUGGGACUGAGACACGGCCCAGACUCCUACGGGAGGCAGCAGUGGGGAAUUUUGGACAAUGGGCGAAAGCCUGAUCCAGCAAUGCCGCGUGUGUGAAGAAGGCCUUCGGGUUGUAAAGCACUUUUGUCCGGAAAGAAAUCCUUGGCCCUAAUACGGUCGGGGGAUGACGGUACCGGAAGAAUAAGCACCGGCUAACUACGUG